AUCUGCAAGUCGAGCGAACAGAGAAGGAGCUUGCUCCUUCGACGUUAGCGGCGGACGGGUGAGUAACACGUGGGCAACCUACCUUAUAGUUUGGGAUAACUCCGGGAAACCGGGGCUAAUACCGAAUAAUCUAUUUUACUUCAUGGUGAAAUACUGAAAGACGGUUUCGGCUGUCGCUAUAAGAUGGGCCCGCGGCGCAUUAGCUAGUUGGUGAGGUAACGGCUCACCAAGGCGACGAUGCGUAGCCGACCUGAGAGGGUGAUCGGCCACACUGGGACUGAGACACGGCCCAGACUCCUACGGGAGGCAGCAGUAGGGAAUCUUCCACAAUGGGCGAAAGCCUGAUGGAGCAACGCCGCGUGAGUGAAGAAGGUUUUCGGAUCGUAAAACUCUGUUGUAAGGGAAGAACAAGUACAGUAGUAACUGGCUGUACCUUGACGGUACCUUAUUAGAAAGCCACGGCUAACUACGUGCCAGCAGCCGCGGUAAUACGUAGGUGGCAAGCGUUGUCCGGAAUUAUUGGGCGUAAAGCGCGCGCAGGCGGUCCUUUAAGUCUGAUGUGAAAGCCCACGGCUCAACCGUGGAGGGUCAUUGGAAACU
rnacentral:rRNA from 1 species